rnacentral:rRNA from 1 species
UUUGAUCCUGGCUCAGGAUGAACGCUGGCGGUCUGCUUAACACAUGCAAGUCGAACGGACCUUUUCGGAGGAAUCUGCCUUCAGGUUGGGGACAACAGUUGGAAACGACUGCUAAUACCCAAUGUGCCGAGAGGUGAAAGCUUUAGUGCCUGAGGAUGAGCUCGCGUCUGAUUAGCUAGUUGGUAGGGUAAUGGCUUACCAAGGCGACGAUCAGUAGCUGGUCUGAGAGGAUGAUCAGCCACACUGGGACUGAGACACGGCCCAGACUCCUACGGGAGGCAGCAGUGGGGAAUUUUCCGCAAUGGGCGCAAGCCUGACGGAGCAAGACCGCGUGAGGGAGGAAGGCUCUUGGGUUGUAAACCUCUUUUAUCAGGGAAGAAGACAGUGACGGUACCUGAUGAAUCAGCAUCGGCUAACUCCGUGCCAGCAGCCGCGGUAAUACGGAGGAUGCAAGCGUUAUCCGGAUUUAUUGGGCGUAAAGCGUCCGCAGGUGGUUGUUCAAGUCUGCUGUUAAAGCGCGAGGCUUAACCUCGUACAGGCAGUGGAAACUGAGCGACUCGAGUAUGGUAGGGGUAGCGGGAAUUCCCAGUGUAGCGGUGAAAUGCGUAGAUAUUGGGAAGAACCCAGCGGCGAAAGCGCGCUACUGGGCCAUUACUGACACUCAUGGACGAAAGCUAGGGGAGCGAAAGGGAUUAGAUACCCCUGUAGUCCUAGCUGUAAACGAUGGAUACUAG